GAUGAACGCUGGCGGCGUGCCUAAUACAUGCAAGUCGAGCGAACAGACGAGAAGCUUGCUUCUCUGAUGUUAGCGGCGGACGGGUGAGUAACACGUGGAUAACCUACCUAUAAGACUGGGAUAACUUCGGGAAACCGGAGCUAAUACCGGAUAAUAUUUUGAACCGCAUGGUUCAAAAGUGAAAGACGGUCUUGCUGUCACUUAUAGAUGGAUCCGCGCUGCAUUAGCUAGUUGGUAAGGUAACGGCUUACCAAGGCAACGAUGCAUAGCCGACCUGAGAGGGUGAUCGGCCACACUGGAACUGGGACACGGUCCAGACUCCUACGGGAGGCAGCAGUAGGGAAUCUUCCGCAAUGGGCGAAAGCCUGACGGAGCAACGCCGCGUGAGUGAUGAAGGUCUUCGGAUCGUAAAACUCUGUUAUUAGGGAAGAACAUAUGUGUAAGUAACUGUGCACAUCUUGACGGUACCUAAUCAGAAAGCCACGGCUAACUACGUG
rnacentral:rRNA from 1 species